UAAUAGAAAUUAGUAGGGGUCUUUAUUUGGCAACUGCUUAGACUUAAUUCUUGUCAUUUGGUCCUCCAUUUUUUUCUUAGUUCCGUUCAUGUGCUCCUAUGCGUUACUAGUUCAUAUUUGGCUUUGCUACUUUGUGAUGAAGUAUAUUUACAAAUUUCACUUGAGCAAUGAUGCAGAUUUCAUAUCUUUGAUACUAUCUUCAAGGGGGAAGUGCACGUGGAAGUUGAACAAAGCCAAGAAAACCAAACCCAACAACAACGAUUGGGGCCGGCCCAAUUCCAACCCAACGGCCUGAUUUAGUCCAGUAAAGCCGAGCGCACCACCAUAUCAAGCCUCUUCCUCCCCGAAACCCUGGUCAGAUUUUGUAAGUCGACGGCGGGGUGAGGGUUUCUGGCCAAAGUUGGGAACGCGGGGGCAGCAGAGAGCUUCCUUCCAGAUUGGGAGGAGGCCGCGUGAGAGGGGUCGUCAUGAAGCCAUCCAGAGCUUGGAUGAGUGGUGUGAGAAGAAGGGCGCAUCUCGCUUGGCUAGGGAGCCAGCAGGGGAGGCUCCACAGGGAGCAGGCUGAUGGCGGUUCCAUCCUCCCAGAGCCCAACCUUACCCAAGGUCCAGCUCGAAACUUGGCUCUUCUUCCAGGUUUAUCUCCAGCGCCAACAAAUGUAGCUAAAUCACCAAGCAGUUUACCGGUGCUGAGAAGUCCAUCCUUGGGCACUACAUUUGUUGCACCAUUCUCGCCUACUGUGGUCGGUAGCAUACCAAGCCGCUGUAAAAGCAGUGUACUCUCUUUGCUGAAGAAUGCUGGUAUAUUAACGAAACGCUCCCGUUUUCUACAUUUUUGUAAUCAUCAAUGGUAGAAUGUUAGCCCUCCCGUUUUCUGCAUAGUACAAAGCUCAGUCUG